AUGUGGCUCCCGAACGGUUAAAUUAUGAACAUCCUCAAAAUACCUUCGUGGUCAUUAGAGCAAAUACAUUUAUACAAGUUUAGAAUCUUAGGAUUAGAAUAAAAUACUAGCGUAAUAGCUAAAAAAAGUUAAAUAAAAAGAUUAAAUAGAAAUAUUAAAUUAUCUUAUAUGACAAAGAACAACCCAAAGUUUUAAAUUCACAAUUCAAUAAUAAUUUAAUGCGAUUUAAAUUGUUUAUGUAGUUUUCUAAGAUGUUUAUUUAUGUAAAUGCUGUGUGUGUGCUGCGGGUGCUGCCCCUUUAAAUCCGUUGAAGUGACUUCAGUUACCAUGGAAACGAGGCUACUAGGAACAACAGAAAGCGGCAAAGCUCCGCGUUUCUUAUGGUUUUCUUCACUUUUUCAGGAGUGACAAAAUAACCCCUCUAUAAUAAAAAAAAGCUCAAGAUUUCAGCAUUUUCGAAGGGAGCUGCUGACAGAGAUGUUGAAAACUCAGAUUUGUCCAUGCAGCAGAGUUGAAUCAAACCUGUCAGAAAACAUCUCUAAGGGGCUAUGUAUGAACCAUAUGGCUAGAUACCCAUACGGGUUACAGAAGCUCCAGUAUGGAUCCAGCCUCACUUGUAAAGACUUCAGAUGACGCCUACACUCUCAGAGACUUCAGAUGAUGGCAACUGGAUGGACAUACAAAACUGCCAAACAUUAUAUAUAUAUUGCAAUCACUGCCUCAAAGCAUAAGUUUGCAGAUUUUCAACCCACUUUAUAUUUUUACAAUAAAUUGGGGUAUUUGAAUGGACAAUGUUUACGCUUUUUUUCUUGAGUUAAACUUAAAUUCCCAAUUAGUUCUUGACAAUACUCUGCCAGAUGACAGAUUACAUAUAUUACAGACAUUGUAACAAUACAAAGUGGGUUGGAAGUCUGUAAACUUCCUCUAUAAUCAUAAUUGUCUGUUUAACUGAGCAUGACGUGAAACAUAUGUGAACAUAUGAACAUUACUUUGUUACUUAAUGAGAUAAAUGCUUAUCUCUAGGUUCACAGACAAGGCUUAAGCCUAUAGUCCUAGACUAAGACACAUGUUUGAGCUGUCUCAAUUGAAAAGAACUUUCAAUGCGAGAUUUUAAAAUAAACCAGUGCCAGUGAUUUUUCUUAAGAUGGACACUAGUAACAAUUUUUUCUAAGGCAUGUUUAUUAAAGAUAUUUAAACAUCUUAAUUUAACUAAGGCAUAGUCUAGCUUUAGCUAAGCCUUGCAAAAACGUUUAGAUUACGUUAUCAAAACGUUUUUGCAACGUUGUGAAAAUGCGUAUUUAUAACGUUCAAAAAACCCGACAUUUGGUCAUAUUAAGUACGUCGGAAAAUAACGUUAUCACAAUCUUUUCACAACGUGAAAAAAACGUUUUUAUAACGUUUUUGUGUUUGCUGGGAUGGUACAGUGCUUUAUAUAGAUUAAUGGUAUAUGGUACAGUCUUCUUUAGCUUAAAGGUAAAUAUAACAGUGAAUGAAGAUAAUUCUUAAACUGUGUUUAGAUGUAGUUUAAUAUAGUUUAGAGUAUCAGUGAAGCAAGUUUGAGAGAUUUCUACAUAAAAUCUAUAAUGUAAAAAAUAUAAUCUUGAUAUCUUUAAUAAGGUAACAUUUUUAAAUAAGUUCUAUCUCUAUUUACAGUUGUAUUAUGCCACAUUUAACCUCCUAAGACCUGGAUGUCACAUAUGUGGACAUCAAUGUUUUUGUUGUUUGCACCAUAAUACUUAAUUCUGUGUAACUGGAACCUAUUAUACACAAACAUGGACAAAUACACUGCUUCAUGUUCAUAGAAAAAUAUUUGGUUAUUAUAUUAAUUGGUUCCCAAAAAUAGCUGGUAGAAAUCUGAAAAAAAAGACAAAUCAAAGCUCGGUCUUAGGAGGUUAAUUUAGGCUUCAUGUUAUCUGACCAAAGAUAGGAGAUUGUUGCAUAAAUUGGUUUGGGGCAGAAAAUAUAAUUUUGGUAUUGGAAACAUUUUUUAAGAUCUUUUCCUCUCAUCUCAUACAGGAUUUUGUCCACCAUCAUGACCCUUUAGUCUCUGUGGUGGUUCUUCAUCAGUCAAAUGUCCUUUAAUGUUUUUGGGAAUUAAUAUUAAGUAGUGUUUAGUGAAUUUAACCCUGCAGUAAACCCAGCAAUAUGUAACUCUGUUGAUGCUUUAACUGCUGUAAGGGAUGAGGGAUUAUUAUCUAACUUAAUGUCUGUUUUUGACUGACUGCCAGUGUUUAACUUUUUGAUAUGCCUGAAGGAUUUUGAACAAUGAAAAAACCUUUCGUAUGUAUCAUGCAUUAAAAUAUAUGACCUUUGAUGCUUUUUAAUGAUUUAAAUAAAAUCUCCAUACAAUCUGAGCAUGUCUGUGUUUUACUCUCGACUAAUACUCUUUUCUUUUAACAUUACUGGUAAUUGACAUAGCGCCAUCUAGUGGUUGUAAAUGAAUAACACAAUAGGUCUAAAUAUAUGAAUACAAAAUAGCAUCUAUACAUACUGUAAAAUACAUUUUAAAAAGUAGUAAUAAGCUAAAUAAGACAUAUUAAAGAGUUUUGAUAUGAUAUUCAUAUAUAUCUACAAUAAAAAGUCCAAAAGUUGUUAAUAGUUUUAAUUAAACAACACAGGGGACAUAACAAAAAUAAAAAAAACUCAUCAGAGUUGAGCCGUAAUUACAGAACAAUCACUGAACUCAAUGACAUCUAUAUAUAACUCGCCGUUGUCAUGGAACCAUUAUGACAUCACAUAACAUUAUGACAUCACAUAAUGGUUAUAAAAGGGCUCAGCCAGAUGAGACCGGUAUCAUUUGGCUGAUCUGAACGCUUGCCUUUGGUUGACUCUGAACGCUACUGUACAGAUUACCAAGUGAAUUUUGCAGACUUUCAAAAAGUUCGCAGCUUUAAACUGCUUGACGCACUGUGUACAGACAGACAGUUUACUUAGAUUUCAACCCUCUGUGAACCGAGUCUAAGCACAGUUAAGUCUGCAGUUAUCUUUUCACAUCAUGUUUCGUCCUGUAACACCAUUGUCCGACAAGGACAUGGAAGGAGCAGAUGUUGAAAAUAUGGAUUUUAUUCUGCCGAAUGCUGUGCCGAACUUUGACUAUGUCCUUGAUAUCGGACUUUCGUCACAAGUCGGGCGCGCUGCCGGUUGUUUAAAUCCAUUUGAAGGAGAAGAGGAGGAGGAGGAGAUGGUGGAUGUUUAUCCAACACAUGAGGCGAAACGCCAAAGAGUGUUUGGAGGAGAUAUGGAUUCAUUCCUACCGAAUGCUGUGUUGACCUAUGACUUUGUCCCUGACAUCGGACUUUCGUCAGAGGUCGGAUGCGCUGCCGGGGGUUUGAAUCCAAGUGGAGGAGGAGAGGAGAAAAUCCCAACAA